GAUGAACGCUGGCGGCGUGCUUAACACAUGCAAGUCGAGCGAAGCACUUAAGUCUGAUUCUUCGGAUGAAGACUUUUGUGACUGAGCGGCGGACGGGUGAGUAACGCGUGGGUAACCUGCCUCAUACAGGGGGAUAACAGUUAGAAAUGACUGCUAAUACCGCGUAAGACCACGGUACCGCAUGGUACAGUGGUAAAAACUCCGGUGGUAUGAGAUGGACCCGCGUCUGAUUAGGUAGUUGGUGGGGUAACGGCCUACCAAGCCGACGAUCAGUAGCCGACCUGAGAGGGUGACCGGCCACAUUGGGACUGAGACACGGCCCAGACUCCUACGGGAGGCAGCAGUGGGGAAUAUUGCACAAUGGAGGAAACUCUGAUGCAGCGACGCCGCGUGAAGGAUGAAGUAUUUCGGUAUGUAAGCUUCUAUCAGCAGGGAAGAAAAUGACGGUACCUGACUAAGAAGCCCCGGCUAACUACAUGCCAGCCGCCGCGGUAA
rnacentral:rRNA from 1 species